AUUGAACGCUGGCGGCAGGCCUAACACAUGCAAGUCGAGCGGAUGAAGGGAGCUUGCUCCUGGAUUCAGCGGCGGACGGGUGAGUAAUGCCUAGGAAUCUGCCUGGUAGUGGGGGAUAACGUCCGGAAACGGGCGCUAAUACCGCAUACGUCCUGAGGGAGAAAGUGGGGGAUCUUCGGACCUCACGCUAUCAGAUGAGCCUAGGUCGGAUUAGCUAGUUGGUGGGGUAAAGGCCUACCAAGGCGACGAUCCGUAACUGGUCUGAGAGGAUGAUCAGUCACACUGGAACUGAGACACGGUCCAGACUCCUACGGGAGGCAGCAGUGGGGAAUAUUGGACAAUGGGCGAAAGCCUGAUCCAGCCAUGCCGCGUGUGUGAAGAAGGUCUUCGGAUUGUAAAGCACUUUAAGUGGGGAGGAAGGGCAGUAAGUUAAUACCUUGCUGUUUUGACGUUACCAACAGAAUAAGCACCGGCUAACCUCGUG
rnacentral:rRNA from 1 species